UGCCUACGGGAGGCAGCAGUGAGGAAUAUUGGUCAAUGGUCGGGAGACUGAACCAGCCAAGCCGCGUGAGGGAGGAAGGUACAGAGUAUCGUAAACCUCUUUUGUCAGGGAACAAAGGCGGGGACGUGUCCCCGGAUGAGUGUACCUGAAGAAAAAGCAUCGGCUAACUCCGUGCCAGCAGCCGCGGUAAUACGGAGGAUGCGAGCGUUAUCCGGAUUUAUUGGGUUUAAAGGGUGCGUAGGCGGAUUUUUAAGUCAGCGGUAAAAUGUCCGGGCUCAACCCGGGCCGGCCGUUGGAACUGGGGG
rnacentral:rRNA from 1 species